UAAAGCUUUUUCACCGCCAUCAAUUGCUCCUCUCUCUCUCUCUCUCUCUCUCUCUCUCUCUCUCUCUCGGCCGCCAUUGGAGGAGCUACGAGGAGGAAGAGAAGCGACAGUGAAAGGGGGGAUCGAGGGCGGAUGCGAUCGGUGGGUUUGAAUCUUCUUUUUAUAUAUCUCUCUGUUGCCAUUGGAGGAGCUGGAAGGAAGAGGAACAUUGGUGACGAUUAGUAGAGCUCGUAGGAGGAAGGGAAGCAUCAGCGUGAACUGGCAGAUUAGAGGUGGUACGAUCGGAGGCUGUCAGUUGGAUGCUUGCAUUAUAGCAUUUUGGAGCUUUUCUCUCUUCAGGCUUCAAUUUCACAAUAGAUUUCUCCAUUAUGG